rnacentral:lncRNA from 1 species
CACACGCAGCCGCCCUGACUGGUGAACACAUGGGAAGGGGUUUGUGUCUCCUACCCACUGGCCCUGUGGGAAUCCACCAGCAGAUCAGAUCCCCAGUCUGAGAUGAGACUGUGAGGCAGAUGCUUUGGGUCUUGUCUGCUGUACAUUUUUAACUUCACUCUGAUUUUUUAAAGGAAGAAAGUUGGGCAUAAAGAGAAUCUAUCAGAGUGAGGCCAGUGGUAGGAAGAGACGGACCAUCCAUCCACUCUGCUAGCAUCUGUGACUACUGACCUGCUGACAAAUGCUAGGCCAGGUACAGAGAUCCAAAGCUCACUACACCUGAAUCUCACCUCAGCCAGUUCCAGGUGCAGAAGAGCCAGAGGCAGAUAUGCUUCAGUCAAAGAUGGCCCGAGCAUCCUUUUCUGUGAAACAGGGAGAGAGCUAUUGUGAAAAUGAGAUGAAGUAAUGCCUCCACAUAUUUCAGGCACAUGGAUGAAGAAACCAAAUACCUAUCCAUCACUAGGGAGAUGCAGUGGAGGAGGGAAAAGAAGCAAAUGUUUGUUGGACCUCUGCUUCCUUCUUCACUCUGCACAGCUCUCUUUCCAUACAUUGAGUUAUGUCAUGUUUAGGACGUCCCUUUGUGGAUAUCCUAUCCCUUGAGGAUAUUCAUUUUCGUCUCCUUUGGACACAAGAAGGACAGGACCCAGUGUAAGAGAAGUGAAAUAACUUUUCAAAGUCCCAUAACUGACCACAGGAGAAUUACUCUUCCAUCCAGCGAGCAACACAGGCUUCAUAUGGACCCAAAUGAGAAAAGACAGAGUCCCCUUCUUUUCAAAAGGUCAAAAAACUAAUUCUACCAAUUUUUGAUAAUUACUUUAGUUAAUGGGUCCCUUUCGAGAAGUAAUUCAUCCAGUUUAUUCAUCAAGACAAAAUAAGGUAUAGUCUAUUCCACUUUCUGCCCAAUCUCAUAUAGACAGAGUGGCUGGUGUCACUUGGCAAGGGUAGGACUCAUGUCACCCAGGCAGCAAGACCAGAGCUUUCCAGUCCUACCUACAAAUAUGCAC